AUUGAACGCUGGCGGCAGGCCUAACACAUGCAAGUCGAACGAGUGGCGGACGGGUGAGUAAUGUCUGGGAAACUGCCCGAUGGAGGGGGAUAACUACUGGAAACGGUAGCUAAUACCGCAUACCAUCGGAUGUGCCCAGAUGGGAUUAGCUAGUAGGUGGGGUAACGGCUCACCUAGGCGACGAUCCCUAGCUGGUCUGAGAGGACGACCGGCCACACUGGAACGAGGACACGGUCCAGACUCCGACGGGAGGCAGCAGAGGGGAAUAUUGCAAAAUGGGCGCAAGCCUGAUGCAGCCAUGCCGCGUGUAGUAAGAAGGCCUUCGGGGUUUAAAGUACUUUCAGCGAGGAGGCGUUACUCGCAGAAGAAGCACCGGCUAACUCCGUGCCAGCAGCCGCGGUAAUUC
rnacentral:rRNA from 1 species